GAUUCAUAGUGUUCUGGGUCCAUACUUCCUUGCUAUCCCAUAAUUCUCUGUCCAAGGGUAUGGAAUGUAAAGAAGUAUGAGUCUGGUUACUAUACAGCAUCAGACCAGCAAAAACAUGGGAGCAAUGGAGGAGGAAUAGACAAGAUAUUUUAUGGAGAAGAGAAUUUUUUGGAACAACAAACUGGGAUACUACUAAUUAGUCAGGUCUCUCCUUUCAAAGAGUCACCAAGAGAAUGAAGCCCCCAACAGACUGGUCUCACUGAAAACUGUGCCAUGCCAGCCUUGUACAGGGUGGCCAUGUGAUUUUUGUUGUGCAUGAAUGAGAUGUAGUGAAGAAAUAAAAGUCAGGAAUUGUGCAGAUAUAUGCACACAUUUGUA